CCCACGGGUGGCUGCAGUGGGGAAUAUUGGACAAUGGGGGCAACCCUGAUCCAGCCAUGCCGCGUGUGUGAAGAAGGCCCUCGGGUUGUAAAGCACUUUCAGUGAGGAAGAACGCCUGGUGGUUAAUACCCAUCAGGAAAGACAUCACUCACAGAAGAAGCACCGGCUAACUCCGUGCCAGCAGCCGCGGUAAUACGGAGGGUGCGAGCGUUAAUCGGAAUUACUGGGCGUAAAGCGCGCGUAGGUGGCUUGAUAAGCCGGUUGUGAAAGCCCCGGGCUCAACCUGGGAACGGCAUCCGGAACUGUCAAGCUAGAGUGCAGGAGAGGAAGGUAGAAUUCCCGGUGUAGCGGUGAAAUGCGUAGAGAGCGGGAGGAAUACCAGUGGCGAAGGCGGCCUUCUGGACUGACACUGACACUGAGGUGCGAAAGCGUGGGUAGCAAACAGGAUUAUAUACCCCGGUAGUC
rnacentral:rRNA from 1 species